rnacentral:rRNA from 1 species
GGGGGUUUUAUAAAAUGGGGGGGGGGGCGCCCCCGGGGGGGGGGGGGGAGGUAUAAAAACAAUUGUGGGGGGGAAUUUUUUCUCCCCCAAGAAAGGUGUUUUGGGGGAAAAAAAUUGUGGGGGGGAAAAAUUUUUAAGUUUAAAAAACCGGGAAUGGGUUUUUUUAAAAAAAAAAAAAAGAUUUUUUUUGCCCUUUAAAAAACGAACCCCCGCCACUGGGAUUUAGUUUUUUUGGGUGAGGGGAAAUUGUUUCCCCCAAGACUUUGGAAUUUAAAAGUUGGAUUUGAGGAGGAUGUUCAACCCCCCACGGGGGAGGAAGACCCGGGCCCAGGUUCCUUACGGGAGGCAACCAAGGGGGAAUUAUUGGACAAUGGGGGGAAAACCCUUAUUCCAGCAAUGCCGGGAGAGGGAAGAAGGCCUUUCGGGGUUGUAAAACUCUUUUAUCAACGAAGAUAAUGACAUUAAUUGAAGAAGAAGCUCGGGCUAACUCCGUGCCAGCAGCCGCGGUAAUACGGAGGGGGCUAGCGUUGUUCGGAAUCACUGGGCAUAAAGCGUAUGUAGGCGGAUCAAAAAGUUAGAUGUGAAAUCCCUGGGCUCAACCCAGGAACUGCAUUUAAAACUAGUGAUGUAGAAUUUGGUAGAGGUUAGUAGAAUUUCCAGUGUAGAGGUGAAAUUCGUAGAUAUUGGAAAGAAUACCGGUGGCGAAGGCGACUGACUGGGCCAUUUUUGACGCUGAGAUACGAAAGCGUGGGUAGCAAACAGGAUUAGAUACCCUGGUAGUCCACGCAGUAAACGAUGAGUGCUAGUCGCUGGGUCAAUGGAUUCGGUGUCGAAGCUAACGCAUUAAGCACUCCGCCUGGGAAGUACGGUCGCAAGAUUAAAACUCAAAUAAAUUGACGGGGGCCCGCACAAGCGGUGGAGCAUGUGGUUUAAUUCGAAGCAACGCGAAGAACCUUACCAGACCUUGACAUGGUGUGUUUGAAUUACAGAAUUGUAAUUCUUCAGUUCGGCUGGCACACACACAGGUGCUGCAUGGCUGUCGUCAGCUCGUGUCGUGAGAUGUUGGGUUAAGUCCCGCAACGAGCGCAACCCUCAUUUUUAGUUGCCAUCAGGUUAUGCUGGGCACUCUAAAGAAACUGCCGGUGAUAAGCUGGAGGAAGGCGGGGAUGACGUCAAGUCCUCAUGGCCCUUACGGUCUGGGCUACACACGUGCUACAAUGGUGGUGACAGUGGGCAGCAAUGUCGCAAGACAAAGCUAAUCCUCAAAAGCCAUCUCAGUUCAGAUUAGGGUCUGCAACUCGAGUCCAUGAAGUUGGAAUCGCCAGUAAUCGUAGAUCAGCAUGCUAUCUGAAUCGCCGCU